rnacentral:rRNA from 1 species
GUGGGGUGACUGCGUACCUUUUGUAUAAUGGGUCAGCGACUUAUAUUCUGUAGCAAGGUUAACCGAAUAGGGGAGCCGGAGGGAAACCGAGUCUUAAUUGGGCGUUAAGUUGCAGGGUAUAGACCCGAAACCCGGUGAUCUAGCCAUGGGCAGGUUGAAGGUUGGGUAACACUAACUGGAGGACCGAACCGACUAAUGUUGAAAAAUUAGCGGAUGACCUGUGGCUGGGGGUGAAAGGCCAAUCAAACCGGGAGAUAGCUGGUUCUCCCCGAAAGCUAUUUAGGUAGCGCCUCGUGAAUUCAUCUCCGGGGGUAGAGCACUGUUUCGGCUAGGGGGCCAUCCCGGCUUACCAACCCGAUGCAAACUGCGAAUACCGGAGAAUGUUAUCACGGGAGACACACGGCGGGUGCUAACGUCCGUCGUGAAGAGGGAAACAACCCAGACCGCCAGCUAAGGUCCCAAAGUCAUGGUUAAGUGGGAAACGAUGUGGGAAGGCCCAGACAGCCAGGAUGUUGGCUUAGAAGCAGCCAUCAUUUAAAGAAAGCGUAAUAGCUCACUGGUCGAGUCGGCCUGCGCGGAAGAUGUAACGGGGCUAAACCAUGCACCGAAGCUGCGGCAGCGAACGUAUCACCCAAGACAACUUUACGGAGUUGACGAUUGACGGAGCGAAGCGACGUCAAAGCGUUCAUUAAAGUCGAGUUGGCUUAGGGAUACGUUCGUUGGGUAGGGGAGCGUUCUGUAAGCCUGUGAAGGUGUGUCGUGAGGCAUGCUGGAGGUAUCAGAAGUGCGAAUGCUGACAUAAGUAACGAUAAAGCGGGUGAAAAGCCCGCUCGCCGGAAGACCAAGGGUUCCUGUCCAACGUUAAUCGGGGCAGGGUGAGUCGACCCCUAAGGCGAGGCCGAAAGGCGUAGUCGAUGGGAAACGGGUUAAUAUUCCCGUACUUGGUGUUACUGCGAAGGGGGGACGGAGAAGGCUAUGUUGGCCGGGCGACGGUUGUCCCGGUUUAAGCGUGUAGGUGUGUGUUCCAGGUAAAUCCGGUUCACUUUAACACUGAGGCGUGACGACGAGGCACUACGGUGCUGAAGCAACAAAUGCCCUGCUUCCAGGAAAA